rnacentral:misc_RNA from 1 species
AACAACGUCGUGUCAUUGUCUGGUAGAACAAACGUACAAAUGCAGAACCUAUGCUUCUCUUCUCCGAGCUGUAACAAUGGCGAUGAUGGGUGAAGAAGGGAAGAAGGGAGGAAAGGAAGGGAAUAAUUUGCUGGGCUCACCGACCUUCAUGGAGCUUGAAAAUGGAAGGUUCAAGUGCGUAGAGACGGGCCACGAGAUGCUAGCCAAAGACAAAGAAUCGUAUUCGCAGAGCAAACGGUGCCGUUUGGGUCUCAUCGACUUUGCUUUGGCUCACAAUAAGCCCCCUCUCAAUAUGUUCAAGCAAGACCCUCUCUCCCGUUCAAAAUUGAUAUGUAAGCUGACAGGGGACACUGUCAAUAAGUCUGAGGAACAUAUCUGGAAGCACAUCAAUGGCAAGCGGUUCCUUAACAAACUGGAGCAAAAAGAAAUGGGGAAAGUUGAGGAAAGGCAACCGGAAGAAUUUAAGUCUGGCACAGAUGGUCAGAAGAAGAAGAAGAAAAAGAAGACCCUGUGAAGAAGGCUAAUGCAAAACCAAGUUUGGCGGAAGAGGCGGCAGCGGCUGCAAAGGCAGCAGCAGCAGCAGCUGCUGAUGUUGCAAAAGCAAGCCAAGAAAUGUUGAAUUCAAAAAGCGAAGAGAGAAGACACUUCAAGGAAUUUAUGAAUCUUUUGGAUGUGCAAGUUCAGGAAAUGAAAUCCAUGAGCACCGCAAUACGAAAAUUGGAAGGUAGGAAAUGUUGUUUUCUUAUCCAAUAAUUAGAUUUGCUUAUAUGGCUGCAUAAACUUGGUUGUUGAGUUGCUAUCUGUUGCUGAUCUCUGAGCAAUCCAUGCUAAAGUUUGAUUUGUUAGAGAAUGUAAUUUUACAUACCAUUCUUUCUUGUUUGGCAAAUUAUAAAUUUUUAAUCAAUCCAUAAGAACUGCAUUACUUAAAACCUUCGAUCCUCAUUUUUGGAGCCUUCAUGCUAACACAAGGUUAUUUGUUGUGACUGCUAAGUAAAGACAUGAAUCAUAAAGCACAUCAUCUUGUAACUAUUGGCUGUUACCUAUUACCAACUAUCAAGGUUCAGGCAUUGGCCCCUUAUCUUGAGGCCAUUUGUUUGUCCUACUGUUAUGAACCCCAUGACUUAGUUAUGGACCUGGGGAAGUGUGGUCCAGGUUUGAGAAUUUAUAGAUAUUCAUAUCCUUCAACAUGUUUUUUGCCUGAAAUGGUUGCUGUCAAGACUCAAAAAUAUGCCUUUGCAGUUGCAUUGCAAUCCAAGACUAGUAUUGGUGUGUGAUCUAUUAUAGUCCCAAACCCAAAUCAAAAUGUAAAGAAAUUUAACAAAUUUAUAUUGUCUGCCUUCACACUGGUAAGACAAAAAAAGUUAAAAAUAAAAUGGAAAGAGAUGUUGCUGCCCCAGUCACAGCUUUGGAAGAAGUCCUCUGUAUGUGUGGGAGAAAUGUCGAUGUGCAUGUUGGUGGUGAUGUUUCCUUAGCAAGCAGUGAAAUGAAUUUAUCCACUGCUGAAAGUUUCUUUUCCUGAUUGUUAUCAAUUUUGGGGAAGUUGUGUGCCCUCUUACUUGUUUUCAGUCAUAUGAGUUCUCCAUUAACCAAAUCAGCCUUCUAUUUUCAUUUCUAGGUUUUUAUGUUGAAAUUUCAUGGUGUUUCUGGAAAAGAUGUCUUAAAAGAAGCUAGGAUUUUGUUCAUAUAUUGUUGAACAUUUUCUUUUCCUGUCUGUUAGGACAAACUAAUAACCUUGGGGGAACCUCUCAUGUUGAUCAAGAAGAUUAUACUCUAUCAGUGGCAAAUUAUCCUAAGCAAACCUAUGUGAAUGGCAAUGCUAAGUCUGAUUCGCGCACAGUGAGAUCUUCAUCGCCACCUACUUCUGCUGAACCCUCUGUUGCACCACACCCAAAGUCAUAUAUGGAGAUCAUGGCAAUGGUUCAAAGAGGAGAGAGACCUGCUAACAUCAGAGAUAUCAAUGAUCAACCACCCAACCCUAACCAGAAAAUUUCAAAUACUCGCUUAGCACCAAAGAGUAAGCCUUGGGAGGCUGGUCAAUCCCUAAACAAUUCAAGCCAAGCUCUCCAGUCUCAAGUAAAUGGAGAAGAUUUGAAUUCCAAGGUACAAGACAAUGGUGUGACCUAUCAGUUUGAUGGUGAGAGUGCCAUACCUUGGUGGCAGCGGAAGAAUGCCAGAAUCACAGAGAUUGAAAAUGAAGAUGAACUCGAGGAUGGACAUUAUGGUGCACGAACUAAUGAGCAACCGAUUCAGCGUACAUGGGUUCCUCCCCAGCCACCCCCUGUUGCAAUGCCUGAAGCAGCGGAAGCCAUCCGACGGCCAAAAUCGUCAGUUCAGAAAGAACAGUUGGCAGAGGAUCAAUCUGUUUCUCAUUCAACAGAUGUAACAGAUGAGUUGCAGAGGAUAACAAAAAUAUCUGAAUCAGGGGGUGCAGUGGAGGUCAAUGGUGGGGGAUUAGAGCCGAACUCAAUUGGGAUAAAGGAAGUGCAAGAACACAGCUAUGAAGAGAACUGAAGGUGGAAUUCAAUUUGGAUGAUCAGCUUGGCCAAAGUAACAGGUAUUCACUUAAAUAAUUGCCUAAGAAUAUUACAUAUAAGCAUGAAACGACUAUUGUGUACCCAAACUGAUUGCUAAACAAUAUAUGUGGUGUCUAUUUCAUGAGAGAAUAAAGUCAUGAAUUCUGAAAGCUCAACUUGUUUUCUUAUGGAGGCAAAUAAGUACCGAUCAGAGCGUAAAUCAACUUUUAUAAUUAAUAUGCUUUUAUUUUAAUAACUGACAUGUUUGCUCGAGGAUAAGAUGAUAAAGGAAAGGAUUUUGAUGCUGGCAGCGACUUGGUGAUAAUGGACGCUUGUGUGUGGCCAACCAUGCAUUUUUGGUGAAUCAAAGGAUUUUCUGAGUGGAAAUUCAAUAAUUCAUCCAGCCUCGUUGCCUUUGUUUUGCUGGUUAAUCCCUAAUUCGUUUUUCCAGUUACUAAGUUGAACAACUUCCCCUCAACAUGGAAAAUUUUCUCUCGGGAAGAGAUGAUUUUCAUGCUAGAAUCAGCUAUUUCCAUGUAAUAACCCUAAUUCUCUACAACUAUUUUCGAUGAAUGUCGACAUUUCAAAUUAUAAUCAUAUGCUAUAAAAUAAAUAUUCAGUAUUAUUGAGCUAGCAAGUGCAAGUCCAC